AAAGGGACAACCCCGUGGACACAGGCAAAGCGUUGGAUCCAGGUCCACGAAGAAAGAAGACAUUUGUACAAGAUGAAGUCCUUCUGUCUGCUGCUGGCCCUGUGCCUGGUGCUCGCCCUUGUCGCCAGGGGCGCUGAUGCUGUCUCGGACUUUGACCUGGCUGACGACAAAAGAGAGGAAAAACGUGAAAAACGCAUCUGGGGAACGAUUGCGGGCUUUGCUUUUAGUGGAAUCAAACAUCUGGUGGACAAAAUAAAAGGUUAAAGGGUGCGACAUUCAUACAAAUCAAAUGACGGUCAAUAAUGAGACGAUCAAAUCCUAGCAGCAGGACCGAGGCAAACUCACACUUACCAUGUUGACCACAGUUACAACAUCGCUUUCUUAGCAUCUCAGGGGUUGCUGAUGUUACUACUCAGACCUUCUACAGCUUAGAGACUUGUUUCCUCUGCUGCGUUGAGAAAUAAAACUGUAAACUGCGGAAUA